rnacentral:rRNA from 1 species
GCUCAGAUUGAACGCUGGCGGCAGGCCUAACACAUGCAAGUCGAGCGGCAGCGGGAAAGUAGCUUGCUACUUUUGCCGGCGAGCGGCGGACGGGUGAGUAAUGCCUGGGGAUCUGCCCAGUCGAGGGGGAUAACUACUGGAAACGGUAGCUAAUACCGCAUACGCCCUACGGGGGAAAGCAGGGGACCUUCGGGCCUUGCGCGAUUGGAUGAACCCAGGUGGGAUUAGCUAGUUGGUGAGGUAAUGGCUCACCAAGGCGACGAUCCCUAGCUGGUCUGAGAGGAUGAUCAGCCACACUGGAACUGAGACACGGUCCAGACUCCUACGGGAGGCAGCAGUGGGGAAUAUUGCACAAUGGGGGAAACCCUGAUGCAGCCAUGCCGCGUGUGUGAAGAAGGCCUUCGGGUUGUAAAGCACUUUCAGCGAGGAG